GACUGGGAUGCUAGACUUAACAUGCAGUCGACGCUUCUUUUCCCACCGGAGCUUGCUCCACCGGGAAAAGAGGAGUGGCGAACGGGUGAGUAACACGUGGGUAACCUGCCCAUCAGAAGGGGAUAACACUUGGAAACAGGUGCUAAUACCGUAUAACAAUCGAAACCGCAUGGUUUCGUUUUGAAAGGCGCUUUACGGUGCCGCUGAUGGAUGGACCCGCGGUGCAUUAGCUAGUUGGUGAGGUAACGGCUCACCAAGGCCACGAUGCAUAGCCGACCUGAGAGGGUGAUCGGCCACAUUGGGACUGAGACACGGCCCAAACUCCUACGGGAGGCAGCAGUAGGGAAUCUUCGGCAAUGGACGAAAGUCUGACCGAGCAACGCCGCGUGAGUGAAGAAGGUUUUCGGAUCGUAAAACUCCUGUUGUUAGAGAAGAACAAGGGUGAGGAGUAACUGUUCACCCCUUGACGGUAUCUAACCAGAAAGCCACGGCUAACUACGUGCCAGCAGCCGCGGUAAUACGUAGGUGGCAAGCGUUGUCCGGAUUUAUUGGGCGUAAAGCGAGCGCAGGCGGUUUCUUAAGUCUGAUGUGAAAGCCCCCGGCUCAACCGGGGAGGGUCAUUGGAAACUGGGAGACUUGAGUGCAGAAGAGGAGAGUGGAAUUCCAUGUGUAGCGGUGAAAUGCGUAGAUAUAUGGAGGAACACCAGUGGCGAAGGCGGCUCUCUGGUCUGUAACUGACGCUGAGGCUCGAAAGCGUGGGGAGCAAACAGGAUUAGAUACCCUGGUAGUCCACGCCGUAAACGAUGAGUGCUAAGUGUUGGAGGGUUUCCGCCCUUCAGUGCUGCAGCUAACGCAUUAAGCACUCCGCCUGGGGAGUACGACCGCAAGGUUGAAACUCAAAGGAAUUGACGGGGGCCCGCACAAGCGGUGGAGCAUGUGGUUUAAUUCGAAGCAACGCGAAGAACCUUACCAGGUCUUGACAUCCUUUGACCACUCUAGAGAUAGAGCUUCCCCUUCGGGGGCAAAGUGACAGGUGGUGCAUGGUUGUCGUCAGCUCGUGUCGUGAGAUGUUGGGUUAAGUCCCGCAACGAGCGCAACCCUUAUUGUUAGUUGCCAUCAUUUAGUUGGGCACUCUAGCAAGACUGCCGGUGACAAACCGGAGGAAGGUGGGGAUGACGUCAAAUCAUCAUGCCCCUUAUGACCUGGGCUACACACGUGCUACAAUGGGAAGUACAACGAGUCGCGAAGUCGCGAGGCUAAGCUAAUCUCUUAAAGCUUCUCUCAGUUCGGAUUGUAGGCUGCAACUCGCCUACAUGAAGCCGGAAUCGCUAGUAAUCGCGGAUCAGCACGCCGCGGUGAAUACGUUCCCGGGCCUUGUACACACCGCCCGUCACACCACGAGAGUUUGUAACACCCGAAGUCGGUGAGGUAACCUUUUGGAGCCAGCCUCGUUAAUAGUAGUUCAGCCACCGC
rnacentral:rRNA from 1 species